rnacentral:rRNA from 1 species
GCAGUCGAGCGCCCGCAGGGGAGCGGCAGACGGGUGAGUAACGCGUGGGAAUCUACCCAUCCCUACGGAACAACUCCGGGAAACUGGAGCUAAUACCGUAUACGCCCUUCGGGGGAAAGAUUUAUCGGGGAUGGAUGAGCCCGCGUUGGAUUAGCUAGUUGGUGGGGUAAAGGCCUACCAAGGCGACGAUCCAUAGCUGGUCUGAGAGGAUGAUCAGCCACAUUGGGACUGAGACACGGCCCAAACUCCUACGGGAGGCAGCAGUGGGGAAUAUUGGACAAUGGGCGCAAGCCUGAUCCAGCCAUGCCGCGUGAGUGAUGAAGGUCUUAGGAUUGUAAAGCUCUUUCACCGGAGAAGAUAAUGACGGUAUCCGGAGAAGAAGCCCCGGCUAACUUCGUGCCAGCAGCCGCGGUAAUACGAAGGGGGCUAGCGUUGUUCGGAAUUACUGGGCGUAAAGCGCACGUAGGCGGAUAUUUAAGUCAGGGGUGAAAUCCCAGAGCUCAACUCUGGAACUGCCUUUGAUACUGGGUAUCUUGAGUAUGGAAGAGGUAAGUGGAAUUGCGAGUGUAGAGGUGAAAUUCGUAGAUAUUCGCAGGAACACCAGUGGCGAAGGCGGCUUACUGGUCCA